rnacentral:rRNA from 1 species
AUUGAACGCUGGCGGCAGGCUUAACACAUGCAAGUCGAGCGGGGGAGGUUGCUUCGGUAACUGACCUAGCGGCGGACGGGUGAGUAAUGCUUAGGAAUCUGCCUAUUAGUGGGGGACAACAUUCCGAAAGGGAUGCUAAUACCGCAUACGCCCUACGGGGGAAAGCAGGGGAUCUUCGGACCUUGCGCUAAUAGAUGAGCCUAAGUCGGAUUAGCUAGUUGGUGGGGUAAAGGCCUACCAAGGCGACGAUCUGUAGCGGGUCUGAGAGGAUGAUCCGCAACACUGGGACUGGGACACGGCCCAGACUCCUACGGGAGGCAGCAGUGGGGAAUAUUGGACAAUGGGCGGAAGCCUGAUCCAGCCAUGCCGCGUGUGUGAAGAAGGCCUUUUGGUUGUAAAGCACUUUAAGCGAGGAGGAGGCUACUAGUACUAAUACUACUGGAUAGUGGACGUUACUCGCAGAAUAAGCACCGGCUAACUCUGUGCCAGCCGCCGCGGUAAUAC